GACGAACCGAGCGAACGUUGUUCGGAAUCACUGGGCUUAAAGGGCGCGUAGGCGGGCUGUCAAGUCUGGGGUGAAAUCCCGCGGCUCAACCGUGGAACUGCCUUAGAUACUGACGGCCUCGAGGGAGGUAGGGGCAUGCGGAACUGAUGGUGGAGCGGUGAAAUGCGUUGAUAUCAUCAGGAACUCCGGUGGCGAAGGCGAGGUGCUGGACAUUUUCUGACGCUGAGGCGCGAAAGCCAGGGGAGCAAACGGG
rnacentral:rRNA from 1 species